GACGAACGCUGGCGGCGUGCUUAACACAUGCAAGUCGAACGAUGAAGACAAGAAUCGAAGCUUCGGCAGAAAUUCAUUUCGGAUUAGUGGCAGACGGGUGAGUAACGCGUGAGCAACCUACCUCUUACAAAGGGAUAGCCUCGGGAAACCGGGAUUCAUACCAUAUAACUUUGUGACGAAGCAUUUCGAUGCAAUCAAAGCUACGGCGGUAAGAGAUGGGCUCGCGUCCCAUUAACCGGACGGUGAGGUAACGGCUCACCAUAGUGACGAUGGGUAACCGGCCUGAGAGAGUGAACGGUCACACUGGAACUGAGCCACGGUCGAGACUCCUACGGGAUGCAGCAGUGGGGAAUAGUGCACAAUGGAGUGAGUUCUGAUGCAUCGACGCCGCGUGAGUGAUGUAGGUAUUGAUGGCGUAAAACUCUGUUCUAUGGGAAGAAAAGGACGGUACCUUAGGAGAAAGCUGCGGCUAAAUACGUG
rnacentral:rRNA from 1 species